UACGUAGGGUGCAAGCGUUGUCCGGAAUUAUUGGGCGUAAAGAGCUCGUAGGCGGUUUGUCGCGUCGAAUGUGAAAACCCGGAGCUCAACUCCGGGCCUGCAGUCGAUACGGGCGGACUUGAGUGUUGCAGGGGAGACUGGAAUUCCUGGUGUAGCGGUGAAAUGCGCAGAUAUCAGGAGGAACACCGGUGGCGAAGGCGGGUCUCUGGGCAACUACUGACGCUGAGGAGCGAAAGCGUGGGGAGCGAACAGG
rnacentral:rRNA from 1 species